rnacentral:rRNA from 1 species
UGGGGAAUAUUGCACAAUGGGCGAAAGCCUGAUGCAGCCAUGCCGCGUGGGUGAAGAAGGCCCUAGGGUUGUAAACCCCUUUCAGCGGGGAAGAUAAUGACGGUACCCGCAGAAGAAGCCCCGGCUAACUCCGUGCCAGCAGCCGCGGUAAUACGGAGGGGGCUAGCGUUGUUCGGAAUUACUGGGCGUAAAGCGCGCGUAGGCGGAUCUGUAAGUUGGGGGUGAAAUCCCGAGGCUCAACCUCGGAACUGCCUUCGAUACUGCAGAUCUCGAGUCCGAGAGAGGUGAGUGGAAUUCCUAGUGUAGAGGUGAAAUUCGUAGAUAUUAGGAAGAACACCAGUGGCGAAGGCGGCUCACUGGGCUCGGGUACUGACGCUGAGGCGCGAAAGCGUGGGGAGCAAACAGGGAUUAGAUACCCUGGUAGUCCACGCCGUAAACUAUGGGUGCUAGCCGUCGGAGAGCAUGCCUCGU